GUGCAGGACUGCCAGGUAUCUUUCGUUUGUCAGUCACUUAGGUGAUUGAGUAUGGCUGUUAUUUGCUGUAGGCAAGUACUGGAAAUCAUCUAACCACGGCUGAGAUGGAGAAUACGGCAGCCCAGCACCAGUUUUAGAAGCUGAAAUUCUGACUUCCAUCAUCUUUGGCAGCAAUGACCUUGAUUUUGUGUGCAAGAUGAAGCCCUCCACUUCUCAAAGACUCAGUCAUCAUUCUUAUGGUCUACUGGUGUUUGCUAGUGUACCAUACUACCAGAGUAGAAUGUUGAGUGUUUUAAAUCAUACUGUAUGCAGUCAUCCUCCCCCAACCAUGGUUUUUCUAACCACGGUUUAAGUAUUCACUGUUCAGUAUAUACGAGUAUAUAUUGUCACCAGGUUUUCCUCCCUUGGUAUAAAAUUUUAAGUAUCCACAGGUUUCCACUGUGAAGCCGUGUCGCAAGCAACGAAGAUUAAAACGGCUCACCUCGGUGAAAGGCACAGAAUGAUAUGCAUGGGAGCUCACAGCGUCUCUGCCUUAUUUCCCUUCUACCCCGGCCUGGCCCAACCUGCCUUGUCUAUCUCACAGUGACCACCUUAUAUACAUCCCAUUAGACUGCUCUCAUUUUUUUGUAAACCAGCAGUUUUUGUUAAUUUUUUGCCCUGAAAAAUGGCUUCAAAGCGUAAAUCUAAUGAUAAGACUGUCGCUGUAACAAAGAGGGCGAGAAAAGUGCUGUCUUUAGAGCAGAAAGUGGUAAUUCUUGAUAAGCUUGCAUGUGGUGAGAGCAUAGUAGCAGUCGGGAAGUAUUUUCCUGUGAAUGAGUCGUCAGUGAGGACAAUAAAGAAAAAUGAAGCAACCAUUAGGGCUAGUGUUGCAGCAGGUGCACCAAAGAGCGCAAAAGUGACAUACAUGACCCGUGAUCCAUUCAUUGAAAAGACAGAGAAAAUGCUCUCUCUCUGGAUAGAAGAUAUGACUCAGAAAAAAGAACCACUCAAUAGUAAUAUUAUCUAGAAGAAGAUGCUGCAUAUCUACAACCACCUUGUGGAGCAAUCAGGCAGUGUAGUUAGUUCUUCACGAGGAACCAGCUUUCAGGCUAGCAAGGGCUAGUUUGAACUCUUCAAGAAACGAACCAGCAUUCCCAGCUUUAAGACCGUGGGGGAGGCAACAUCGGAAGACAAUGUAACUGCAGGAUUAUAUCCAGACAUGCUGAAGGAGCUGAUAGAGGAGAAGGGAUAUCUGUCAGAGCAGGUCUUCAAUGCUGACGAGACAGGUCUGUUUUGGAAAAGGAUGCCAGCAAGGCCUUCAUCUCCAAGGAAGAGAAGACUGCUCCAGGGAUCAAGGCAGCCAAAGACAGGUUGACCCUUCUAAUGUGAGCAAAUGUGUCUGGGGACUUUAUGACGAAAACGAUGCUCGUGUACAAGAAGGCGUGGGUUACUGGCAUGUUGUUCAUGGACUGGCUGCACAACUGUUUUUCUCACGACGUCAAGAUGUAUUUACUGAGGAAAAACCUAACAUUGAAGUGGUGUUCUUACCAUCCCACACCACUUCCCUGUUGCAGCCCUUAGAUCAGGGAGUUAUCAAGUGUUUCAAGGCAUAUUACACCUGCCAUACCUUUGUUGGCAUCCUUGAUGGCAUAGAAAAUGAUUCUUCACUGACUGUCUCCGAUUACUGGAAGAAAUAUACGAUAACCGACUGUGUUUCCAACAUCAAUGAGUCCUUAGACGAGGUCCAGCAGUAACAAUCAACGCCUGUUGGCAAAAAUUGUGGAAGGAAGUCGUACAUGACUUCACAGGAUUCCCCACGGUUGAUAAGGAUUGUGCAGCUGGCACAUACUGGGGUGGGGAAGGAUUUGAGGACCUGAAUGAGACUGAAGUAGAGGAACUACUGAAUGUCCACAGUGAGGAGCUGACUGAAGAGGACUUGGAUGAGGUUAUUGAGUUAAGCUCUUGCGACGAGGAGGGCAGUGAUAGCGAAGUGAAAGAGGAGAAGCCCAAGUUAACUCUCAAGGUUAUUGACAACAUCGUGCUACUGGGCAUAAAUCUCAGUGACAUGGUGAUCGAGGCUGAUCCUUUUAUGGAAAGAAGCCUAAAAUUAAAAAGAAAGUUAGAGGAAAUAAUGCAGCCUUUUAGGGAAGUGCAGAAGGGCUUUCAUUGGAAAAUGAAACAUCCAUCAUCCUCAGUUUUCUGAUGCCUUCGUCUGCCACCACCCCCUCCUCACAAACCGCCACCAUCACUCAUUCGUCUUGCACGAGUCCCACCACAAUCGUCCACUCGUCACGGACCAGCUCUCCUAGCACCACCAUUUUCUGCCCAAGUCUCUUGUCAAUGGAAUCGGAGUCAUCUGCAGAUGAUCCUGAGGUUGUGGUGGAGUCUGAGGAAUUGGAUGAUCUUGAGGCUAUGGACUCUGGCUAAAAAUGUCAUCAUUAUCACCAUGAAAGGUUAGCAAGAAAAUUUUUUAUUCUAUUUUAUUAGUCAGCAGAACAUGAAAUUCAUAGGUAAAAGUUAAUACUGUACUGUACUGUAAUUAUUUUAUUUAUUCUCCCAGUAAAUAGCUUACUUCUUAAUUUUAUUACAGGUAAGACAUGUUCAUUUUUAACCUUCCUACAUCCUCAACCCUUGUCUCUGUAGGUGUGCAUGUGAAUAAGUCGAGAGUCAGAUCCUGUACGCAGCACAGAAUACUAUUGCUACAGGUAGGCAGUCACACCUGGGCUGCUUUGCUGGGGCAAGCGUCAAUGUAAAUUACAACUCCGUGUUUAAAGUAACUUGUAUAAUUUUUGUUCUUUUUAUGCUUUCAUUAUUGUUAUUUAUUUGCUUUAUUUAUUGCCUUGUAUAUGCCUACAAUUUUAAGUUUUAAUGUUACAGUGUACUGUAUAGUUAAAGAGGAAAAUAUCACAUACAGAUUGGUUUUUUUACCUUAGUGAAUAUUUUAGGACUCCGAGCUUGUCUCUGGGAGUUUUUCAGGAACCUAACCCUCACAGUUAAGAGGAAAGACUGUACAGUAUUACACACAAAGUCGACAACUGUGUCACUAAAUGUCGGACUCUCAUUCCUCUUUGGUUAAAGGUCUGUAAACUAUAUCUUUUUAUGCAGCCAUUCUUCACAUAAAUUAUGCCUAAUUGCUGUUCUUUUUCUGCUUCAUACAGAGAACAAAAGCAGGAUAUGAACAACAGUCUCUUUCUAAUUCUCUGUUUUUCAUUAAUUAUAACAGAUGUAUUCUCUUAUGGUCUUCUAUAAUAAAGCACCAAGAUUUCCAUCUGGUUUACCCAUCACUUCAAAUAAGUUUGGUGAAUAUAAAUUUUCAGGUCAAUACUGUCGUAUUUCAUCGAGAUUCAUGAAAAACAAUUGUACUUUGACUAAUAUCAACCAUUGCUGUAAUACUUAAGGUUUUCAAGUGCUGAAUUCUAAAACAACAAAUAUACUGUAGUGCAUCACACUUAUAAUAUUGAAAAAGACAAUACUGUACAGUAAUGAAUUCCAGUGAACCAAAAGACCCUGUUCUUAAGUGUACAGUACAGACAGUGAACAGAAAUUUCCCGCUAGGCAUGAGGCCACGUGGCAAACAACAAGUUUUAAAUUUGUUCUGUUUUUACUAAUACAGUUACAGUAGUACUGAAUUUUACAUGGAGAAAUAACCAGAAUAAAAAAUGUUUCCUUUCCUA
rnacentral:lncRNA from 1 species